CCCUUAGAUGUUCUGGGCUGCACGCGCGCGACAAUGACGUUUGCAACGAGAUUGCGAGGCCGUCAGGUCGAGCUGAUCUUGCAAGCUGCGUCGUGAUAGGGACAGUCGAUUGCAAUUAUUCGACUCGAACGAGGAAUUCCUUGUAAUCGCGCACCAUCAGUGCGCGCUGAAUACGUCCCUGCCCUUUGUACACACCGCCCGUCGCUCCUACCGAUUGAGUGAUUCGGUGAAUGUUUUGGAUCGGCUUCAAGUUGGUUCGCGCCUCUUGCUUGCUGUGAAAUCAUGUAAACCUUAUUGCUUAGAGGAAGGAGAAGUCGUAACA
rnacentral:rRNA from 1 species